AGAACGAACGCUGGCGGCAGGCCUAACACAUGCAAGUCGAACGCCUCGCAAGAGGAGUGGCAGACGGGUGAGUAACACGUGGGAACGUACCCUUCGGUUCGGAAUAACUCAGGGAAACUUGUGCUAAUACCGGAUACGAUCGCGAGAUGAAAGAUUUAUCGCCGAAGGAUCGGCCCGCGUCUGAUUAGCUAGUUGGUGAGGUAAUGGCUCACCAAGGCGACGAUCAGUAGCUGGUCUGAGAGGAUGACCAGCCACAUUGGGACUGAGACACGGCCCAAACUCCUACGGGAGGCAGCAGUGGGGAAUAUUGGACAAUGGGCGCAAGCCUGAUCCAGCCAUGCCGCGUGAGUGAUGAAGGCCUUAGGGUUGUAAAGCUUCUUUUACUCGGGAAGAUAGUGACGGUACCGAGAGAAUAAGCCCGGCUAACUUCGCGCCAGCAGCCGC
rnacentral:rRNA from 1 species